rnacentral:lncRNA from 1 species
CUUGGAAUCAGGAGGGAUGGGGUGGGACAGUUUUAAAGCAAAGCAGUGAAGGCAAAAUAACUUAAGUCCAUAAGGAAAUCUCCUCAAGGAUUGGUUCCCCUUCCUUUUACCCUGCUAGCUGUAACUGGUACAUGGGCUCUGAUAGGAGCAUGCAUCAGAUCUUUAUACAUUCCUGAUAGAAGGCCAGGAAUAAAUGAACAAGCACAUCCACUUUUUGAACAGCGUUGUUGUGCCAGGCAUUGUGCUGGACCUGCUGUCUCAGGUUUCACAUCAAGCCUGUGCCCAGGAAGGUCCUCAAUAUGCAGAUGAAGAAACAAACAUGGAAAGAAGAUCAGCCUAUUUAGCCUUCACUUGGAAUGUUUUGUGGAAAAGUUGAAAAGCCCAGAGUGGUGACAAGCUGCGCUCCAUCUGUAUGGUUCUCAACUGCAGAAAUGCCUGAGCCAACAGAACCAGGAAGGCCUGGUUCUCUUCCUUCUUGUCCUGGUCCUGGAGCAAAGUGGGCACACAGCAGCUAUCUCCUGAACCACUGCCCAGUUGCCAGCUGCAAGUCCUAGCUCCAAAGAAGUAAAUGUCCACAGCACAAAGCCAGAAGAAUCUCUGAAGGGCAAUUAUAGCAGACAAUAAAAGGAGCCAGUAUUCUGAAGCCA